rnacentral:tRNA from 1 species
CAACUUUUAUCUUGUGUAGUAGAGUUGUCCUAACACUAUUAGAAUUUUGCAUUUAAAAAAAGUUGU